GUCCUCAGACAGCCUCUGGAAUAUUGCUUCAAUCAGCUGCCCUGUAUAAAUCCAAUAAUCUGACAGUGAAGGUGAAUAUUUAUAUGCAGAGCUCGCUAUCAAUGCUGAUGCCAUUGUAAGUCCUCGUUCUGUCUGCAGGCUGAAGAAAGGAGAGUGCAGGAGGGGUAUGAGAGAAGGAGCCCACCCAACUGAGCGCCUGUCUGUCUGCUGGAAAAAGGAUUGUAAUUUUCUUCCCAAAGCUGAAUGAUGGUCCGAGUGAUGUGCAUGGACUGAAAACACCACAGAGACUUUAGCAACAUCAGUGUCACACCCAGGAAUCUCAGGGUGGAAGGAUGCAGCUUCACUCAUCUUUGACUAUGGCAUAAUAUGGACUGCAUUAGCUUCCGAUAUUCUAUAUGUUCAGAAAGCAAUGUGCGUUCAGACAAAAAGAAAGAGGUGCAGUACUGGGUUUCUCAGAUAAACACUCUUCUCCGAUAUCAUAUCCAGUUUGUCUUGUUUCUAACUGACACAAAGAGAUUGAAAUAUUUCUGACCAUGUUCCAAUAUUUGCACUACACCUACUACACUGACCUUGUAAACUUAUGAACUUUCAAUAAUUCCCUGGCAGACUUCAGUCUAGCCCAGAUCCGUUUGUGGUCUGCAGUGCACACUCUACAACAAUUUGACUCAUAAUCUUUCUGUCUUUUCUUGUCUCAAUGCAUCUUUUUCAGUUUUCAUCUUGUACUCCACCUUGUAAUUGUCACUACCUCCAGGCGGGGGUUUGAACAAAGCAUUCCUAGUAAAGAACUACCGAGACAUAGUUGCUUUCUCACGCUCUCUUUUCUUUUCAUAUAGCUCUUUUCACACAGACUCAUUGACUGUUUGCCAUCUUAUGUUGCAUUCAACCAUGUGACGAGUCCAAGCUGCUGUUAAUCAGCGACUGUGUGACAGCCAGUGCUUGAAUGAGUAAAUGCUUCUUCACUGCAGAUGUGUUUCAGUACCUUUUAAAAGUUGAUGUCAUAUAGUGUUUUGUUUAUUGUAUUUGUUUUUGCAGUUAUCAUCUGACCACAUUUUGGAAAUAACAAACAGCAAUGGGUUGUGCCAUUUGCACACAGUUGAUUGAUAUGUGGAGUGUGUCUGGCUCACAAAGAGGCCAGAUAUCAAUGGACAUGUCUCAUUUGCCAGAAGUCACUCAGCAGGACUACCACAGACUCUCGGGCCUCCACUAUACUUCCUCUUUCUCUGAUGCGGAGGACUGUUGUGAUGACAUCACAAGCACAAGCUCCUCCCCCUCCCCGAACUAUCUCAGAAUAGACUGUUGAUACUUGUGGUUUCACACUUCUGCAGGUUACUCAAACCUUGUUCCAAUAAUUUUUGGCUCCAAAUUCUGUCACUUACAAUAUGACAGUGUGACACUGAAAGAUGCUUAGUCUGCCCAAAUUAAACUAAUGAGGUCCUUGUCUUGACUGUGUGGAAGAGAAUUGUGCUCUCUGCAUCCACAAUGUUCCCCAGUUCAGUUCCUGCUCAAUUUGAGCAACAAACCCAUUAUUGUCAGGGAAAAGCAAUGGGUCUAGCUGUUAUGCAUGCUGAAAUCGGACAUUAUUCAUUUAGAAUCACCUUUUCUUUUAUCAUUCUGGAUAAAAGAACACUGGUUUGGGAACUGGAAUGCAGAUUCUAUGAUGUAAAGAUCUUCAAAAAGAACAUUGUGAUAAAAUGAUGCUGUUGUUUUAAGCCUAAAAAAGUAUAUAUGUGGCUCCUCUGUUUUUCCUAUUGAUCUAUUUAUGUUUUUAAGAUCUGAUUAAACAGUACUGUUAAAGCCAGAGUUUAAUCUAAUCACAAGGGUUUAAUGAAGAAUUGCUUGCUGUGUUGCUGCACUUAAACAGAUAGUUCACCCAAAAAUGAAAUUACUGUUAUAAUUUAUUCAAGGUCAGGGUCCAAACCUGUACGUCUUUCUCUUUCUUCUGCAGAACAUAACUAACAGAAGAUAUUCUACAGAAUUGUAUGAAAAAAAGGAUAUGCCUUUUCACCUCUUGCUUUUAAAGGCUCGAGAGGGUAGUGGAACAGGGGCGUUUUGCAAGGGCUUGUGAUGAAAGUUUAGAUAGCUAGUGAACGUUUACAAAACAAACAUACAAAUCAGCUGAAAGAUAGCUUAGUGGAAUGCAAACAAGCUGUGAAUAGCCCCUUACAGAAUUCUGCACACAUAGAAAGCGUUUUUGUAUUUUACUGUGCUGCUUUACAUUGUUUUUUUCUUUUUCAGAGUUUUUUUUUAUGUAAACAUGGCUAGAACCCCAUUUGUUUGACCAUUGCCUGUGUGAGUGAUGGCCAUGUCAUAUUGAAAAAUAUAGCCUAUAGUGUGUCGAGACCAUUUUGUUUUCCAUAGCCUGUUUUCUUCCCAGUGUUUUCUUUUAACCUUCAGUUCCUGUAUGUGUUGAGGCUUUCAAAGCCAUUGCAACAGAUUUAAAUGACAUAUUUAACUAGGCUAUUAAGUAACACAUUGGUUUUGUAGAUUUUCUUAGUAUAUAAGAACUAAUUGCAAACAAUUUCAACUUGUUAACACGCUGUUCUGUAAAAUAAAUGUUACAUUUGCCUACUUUUGACUGGGGUCUCAAAGACCUCAGACUAAAAAAAAUAAAUACAUUUUAUGAUUUCUUCGAUAA